rnacentral:tmRNA from 1 species
GGGGGCGAUCGGUUUCGACGUGCUGGUUGCAGCCCCGGUGGCGCGCCGAGGACCCCGGUUGGCCUCGUUAAUCAUCCGGGAACGCACACAAAAGCCAACGAUACGCUGGCUCUCGCGGCUUAAGUGCCGCGACGUCUCGCCGCCGACACCUGCUGGGCGGAGUGAGGCGCACGCAGCAGGUUAGUUCCGGCGCCGAGCGACCGGGCGACGGAGCGAAACAAUGCCGUGGACGCUGGUCAGGCGGGUGGCCUGUCGGCCGGCAGCCCGUCUGACGAGAAUCAAAGACCGAACACGCGCGUAGAGGCCGGGGUGACUCCUUCACGGACGGGGGUUCAAUUCCCCCCGCCUCCACCA